AUUGAACGCUGGCGGCAUGCCUUACACAUGCAAGUCGAACGGUAACAGGGUGCUUGCACCGCUGACGAGUGGCGAACGGGUGAGUAAUGCGUCGGAACGUGCCGAGUAGUGGGGGAUAACGCAGCGAAAGUUGUGCUAAUACCGCAUACGUACUGAGGUAGAAAGUGGGGGACCUGCGGGCCUCACGCUAUUCGAGCGGCCGACGUCUGAUUAGCUAGUAGGUGAGGUAAAGGCUCACCUAGGCGACGAUCAGUAGCGGGUCUGAGAGGAUGAGCAGCCACACUGGGACUGAGACACGGCCCAGACUCCUACGGGAGGCAGCAGUGGGGAAUUUUGGACAAUGGGCGAAAGCCUGAUUCAGCCAUGCCGCGUGUCUGAAGAAGGCCCUCGGGUUGUAAAGGACUUUUGUCGGGGAGGAAAUCCCCAGCGUUAAUACCGCUGGGGGAUGACAGUACCUGAAGAAUAAGCACCGGCUAACUACGUGCCAGCAGCCGCCGUAAAAC
rnacentral:rRNA from 1 species